rnacentral:rRNA from 1 species
UACAGAGGUCUCGAGCGUUGUUCGGAUUCAUUGGGCGUAAAGGGUGCGUAGGUGGCGCUGUAAGUCAGGUGUGAAAUUUCGGAGCUUAACUCCGAAACUGCAUUUGAUACUGCGGUGCUUGAGGACUGGAGAGGAGACUGGAAUUUACGGUGUAGCAGUGAAAUGCGUAGAGAUCGUAAGGAAGACCAGUGGCGAAGGCGGGUCUCUGGACAGUUCCUGACGCUGAGGCACGAAGGUCAGGGGAGCAAACGGG